rnacentral:rRNA from 1 species
UGGGGAAUAUUGCACAAUGGGGGAAACCCUGAUGCAGCGACGCCGCGUGAGCGAUGAAGGCUUUCGAGUCGUAAAGCUCUGUCCUAUGGGAAGAUAAUGACGGUACCAUAGAAGAAAGCCCCGGCUAAUUACGUGCCAGCAGCCGCGGUAAUACGUAAGGGGCGAGCGUUGUCCGGAAUUAUUGGGCGUAAAGAGUGCGUAGGCGGAAAUGCAAGUCAGGUGUAAAAGGCAGUAGCUUAACUACUGUAAGCAUUUGAAACUGCAUAUCUUGAGAAGAGUAGAGGUAAGUGGAAUUUUUAGUGUAGCGGUGAAAUGCGUAGAUAUUAAAAAGAAUACCGGUGGCGAAGGCGACUUACUGGGCUCAUUCUGACGCUGAGGAACGAAAGCGUGGGUAGCAAACAGG